CAGCAGCCACGGUAAUACAGAGGGUGCGAGCGUUAAUCGGAUUUACUGGGCGUAAAGCGUGCGUAGGCGGCUUCUUAAGUCGGAUGUGAAAUCCCUGAGCUUAACUUAGGAAUUGCAUUCGAUACUGGGAAGCUAGAGUAUGGGAGAGGAUGGUAGAAUUCCAGGUGUAGCGGUGAAAUGCGUAGAGAUCUGGAGGAAUACCGAUGGCGAAGGCAGCCAUCUGGCCUAAUACUGACGCUGAGGUACGAAAGCAUGGGGAGCAAACAGGAUUAGAUACCCCGGUAGUCCCUGUCUCUUAUAU
rnacentral:rRNA from 1 species